rnacentral:rRNA from 1 species
GUGUCAGCCUCCUCGGUAAUACUGAGGGUUCGAUCGUUAAUCGGAAUUACUGGGCGUAAAGCGCAUGCAGGCGGUCUGUUAAGUCAGAUGUGAAAGCCCGGGGCUUAACCUCGGAAUUGCAUUUGAAACUGGCAGGCUAGAGUCUUGUAGAGGGGGGUAGAAUUUCAGGUGUAGCGGUGAAAUGCGUAGAGAUCUGAAGGAAUACCAGUGGCGAAGGCGGCCCCCUGGACAAAGACUGACACUCAGAUGCGAAAGCGUGGGGAGCAAACAGGAUUAGAAACCCUCGUAGUCC